rnacentral:lncRNA from 1 species
GGUUUUGACAUAAUAUGACCAACUUUAGCAGCUCCAGCCCUGCUUCCCACAGCUCCACAUCUUCCCUGGUCCCACUGCUCUCCUUUUCUGUGUUAUUAAAGAGAGAAGCAGUCCUGUCUGGGGCAGGCAGAGAAGAAGCUGAACAGCUUGUUGUGCUGUAUGCAGGUUUCGGACCACCUGAAUUUCCCAGGCAGAACAAAGGCGGCAGAGAAGGAGGGCACUACUGAACGCAAACAAAAGAUGUAGUCUUAAUAAAGAUUUUACAAAUGC